rnacentral:lncRNA from 1 species
UUUUUAUAAUCCAGCCUAUUCAUUAUUAGAUUUGACUAAAUCAACCACACUCUGACUUUCAAAUGUAAAUACUUUAUUUAGUUUUAUAGAUUUAAUUAGUAUUACUUCAUGCAAUUAUUGCAUCUACAAACUUAUUAAAAUAAAUAAUUAGUUUAAAUUUUGAUAUCAAAUUAUCGUUGAUUGACUAAAAGAUUGGACGGUAGAAUCAAAAUUUUAAAAGAUUAGAUAACCGAUUUAAAAUAUUCAUAAGUUCAGAUGAAUUUCAUACAUUUUUAUUUUUUAAAUAAUAAUAAUAAUAAUAAUAUUAUUAUUAUUAUUAUAAAUUUAAAAUAAUAAUUAUUAUAAUAUAAAUAUUACAUGUGGUGAAUGGGAUGAUAGGAUAUAAAGAAAUG